GAAGUGCGAUAAGCAAUGCGAAUUGCAGAACCGUGAGUCAUCAGAUUUUUGAACGCAUCUGGCGCCAGUUGGCUCUCCAGCUGGCAUGCUUGUUUCAGUGUCUUGUUCUCUCCUCACCCAAAUCCUAAUGCUGGAGAUACCCUUCUCUUGCUAAACACGAAAGCGCUCUGCACUCCGCAAGCGGUCUCGACCUAGUCUUGGCCACGCUCAAUGCAGCCGUCACAUUGCUCACAAUGUGAACUCAUUGAGAGCGGAGGCAGCGAAGCUUAGGCUUCAAGUGCUUAGACACUCAAACUUUACUUGUAUCUGAAAUCAAGCAGGAUCACCCGCUGAACUUAA
rnacentral:misc_RNA from 1 species